GGUGAUAUGUUGGUGUCCCAUCUUUGUAGGUGUAGGAGGUCCCAUAAGAUCAUUACUCAUAUAUAUAUUCAAUUUUGUAUUUUUAAAUUGUCUACACCUUGGUUUGAGUUCAAGUCACUUAGACCUUACCUAGGUCCAGGUAUAUAUAUUAAAUUUUUUAUUUUUAAAAUUUCUGCACCUUCAUUCAGGUCCCAGUCAUUUGGACUUGACCCUGUCCGGUCCAAUCCAUAUAAAAAUUUUCCCAUAUAUAUAUAUAUGUAUAUAUAUAUAUAUAUUACUAGAUCCAUACCCCAUUCUGUAUAUGAUAUUAUUUUUCAUAUCUGAAAUUUGGAGCAUGCAAUUAUAUUUGUAUUUUUUUUAUAAAAAUAGACCAUUGUUAUUGAUUUGGUUUCUAAGAGGAUGGCUUCAUACCAUUCUCGGGUCUUAUCAUUAUUGGAAGGGUGUAUAUGAUUAUUCAAAUAGAUAUUUGCUACAUAUGGAUGUUUAUCUUUAUGAAUAUCUUCUACUAUUAUAGCAAAUAUAAAAGAGGUUUCUAUGAACCUGAUCUUUUCUCCCCCUGAGGUAUUGGAUAUUUGUAUUAGCUCAGGUGAGAUUGUUAUUUCUUGGGCCUGCCUUCUAACUAAUUGAUUUGGGCUUAUUGGAGAGGUCACUAAGGUUUUACCUGAUACUGGAAUUAUUUCCAUUUUCCCCUUCCCCUUGCUUUCUAUUAUUCUCCUGUCCCUGUCCCCCUUGCAAAAACUCACGGGUUAAAAAGUUACGAAGAUAAUUAGCAUUUCCCUUAAUAUGCUCUAUUUCAAAUUCAAUGGAGGAUAGUAUACCUUGCCAUAUUGCAAAGAUUUGCUUUGAGACAAGGUUCUUGACAUCUUUAUUAAGAAUAUCUUUUGCUGCCUUACAAUCAGUUCGUAUAAGAAAUUUUUGGUUUUAAAAGAUCACUUUGGAAUUUGGUAACACAGUAAACAAUGGCUAGAACUUCCUUUUUAACUGUGUAGUAAUUUUGCUGUGUCUGAUUCCAGGCUCGUGAAGUAAAACGAACUAACUGUUCUUUAUUUGAAAACUUUUGUUUCAAUAUUCGUCCUAAUCCUAUUUAUGAGGCUUUGCAUUCAAUUAUUUUGAAUACAGUAGGAUUUGAGAGUGUAAGACAGGGUAAUUCUCAGGCUUUUAUCUUUUUUUUUCUAACAGCCAAAGUAUGCUCAUUUGUCCACUUUGGUGGAUUCUUUUUUAACCUUUGAAAUAAAGGUUUAGCAUCAAUGGCUAGAUCUUUAUAAAAAUCAGCAAUGUAAUUAAGACAUCCCAAAAAUCUUUGAAGUUUAGUUUUAUCUAAAAUAAUAUCUGGGAAUUUAUCAGAAAACGCAAUUGCCCUACCAAUUGGAAUUAUGCUGCCCUGGAAGAUAUUAUGUGCUAUAAAUCUUAUUUUUGUUUGACAGAGGCUAUUUUUUCUAGCCGAGACUACCAAUCCUGCAGCUUUUAUUGCUUUGAUGAAAACAUUUAUAUGUUUGAAAUGCUGCUCAAUGCUUUCAGAGAAUAUUAGAACAUCAUCUAUAUAAACAAUCAUGAAUUUUAUGUAAGGAUUGAAAAUAUCAUUCAUAAUAUUUUGAAAUUCAGAAGGAGUAUUUUUAAGCCCAAAGGGCAUGACAUUCCACUCAAAUUGUCCAAAAGGGACAUUAAAGGAAGUUUUAUAUUUAUCUUGUUCAGCAAUUUGAAUCUGCCAGUAUCCAGAUUUUAAGUCAAAUUUGGAAAAGAUGCAAGCAUUAACUAAUCUAUCUAGCAAAUCCUUUUUAUUGGGAAUAGGAUAUCUUAUCCAUUUCAAAACUUUAUUAAGAGGUUUAUAAUUUAUUACCAAGCGAGGAGCCCCUCUUUCUUUCUCAGAAGCCUUUUCUACAUAGAAUGCUGAGUAGCUCCAUGGAGAAGAACUUUUCCUGAUAAGCUGUUUCUGUAACAAAUCAUCAAUUUCCCUUUUGCAUAUUUCUAAAAGCCGUGGGUUCAUCUGUAUUGGUCUCGCUUUUGUAGGUAUUUUAUUUUCAUGAAAAUCUGCCUCAUAAGGUAGUGUUACGAUAUGCUUUUUUCUAUUCCAAAAGGCAUUAGGCAAUUCUGCACAUAUUUCUUUUUCUAUCUUGAUUUUAAUAUUUUCAAUUAGGCUUUUGUUUUCUGGAGUUAAGAGCUUAUCUUCAACUAUUUUGUAUUUUAGCUCUUCUUUAAGAUGAUAUAAGAAUUUUUCUCUAUUAGAAAUUGUUUCUUUUAUAUUAUUCACUUCUCGAAUUUUGGGUCUAUCAAUGAAUUCAAAUUUUACAUUGUGGCCGUUUAUAUUGGCUUCAAUUCCUGAACUAUCUAUUUUUAAUGGAUAUAGCAUAUUUAAGAAUGGAGUUCCGAGUAUUACAGACUGGCUAAGUCCUUUUACCAUUAUAAAAGGCAUUUCAAAGCAAUUUACGUUAUUGCAGGCUGCAGUACUGGAAAGCUUAUAAUUUAUAAUUAAUCUACUUUCGUCUACUGUAUUUAAUAUUUGAGUUGUCUUACUGAAAUAUUUUGUAGGGACCGGUCCCUCAUUUAUACAAUUCAGGUCAGCACCUGAGUCUAUUAAUGCUAAAGUUUGGAAACUGUAUUCUUUAUGGACUAUUAUUCUUAUCAGAGUACCAUUUUGUGUAAUUACUUCAUCAAGCAGGUUAACAUAAUUAUCAGUUUGUAUUGUACUAGAGGAUUCUGGUUCCUCUUUAUAAGAGGUGAAGGCUAUUUAUACUUAUUUAAUAUGUCACUAAAAUCUAUAUCUUCAUCAAUAUUAAUAAGACUAUCAUCCUGAGGGAUAGAAGCUAGUUCUAAAAUCUGUAUUCUAUUUUUUUGAUUUAUCACUUCAUUUCGAACAUCAUUUAUUUCCUGCCUUAAAUCAGCUAUCGAUGGUUCUUUAUGAAUAUUAUUUUUAUCUUCUACUCUCCUAAGGAUUUUAGCAAAGUUAUAAUCUUCUUGAUUUCGGACUAGAGGAGGAGGCUUUUUAUUUACUUUUGCUAUAUUUAAGUAUUGUAUUAAGGCUUCUCUUAUAGCCUCAGGGUCAGAUAGCCGACACCUUUUGGUCAUCUCAACUGUGCCACCGACACCUUUUGGUCAUCUCAACUGUGCCACCGACACCUUUUGGUCAUUUCAACUGUGCCACUGACACCUUUUUGUCAUUCAACUGUGCCACUGACACCUUUUUGUCAUCUCAGCUUUUUACUGUUCCGCUGACAUCUUUUGGUCACUUCAGCUGACACCUUUAUGAAGAAGUUUAAUAAUUUUUGAAGUCUGUCGCCUAUUAGAAGAAAGAAGAUGCGAAGUUGAAGGCACCACGAGUGCUCUCCCCCAGUGCCCACAUGUCUCAGGUCUCUCAGCCCUCUCAGAGCUCUCAGCCGUCUUAGCUCUCAGCUCUCUUAGCUUUCAGCUCUCUUAUCUCUCAGCCCUCUUAAGCUCUCGGAUCUCAGCUCUCAGAUAUCUCUCUGGUACUCCACUCUGUUACCUUUUCUUUCUCUGGUAGCUCACUCCAACUCUCUGAUACUGCACCAUCUCUCUGACUACUCUCUGUUAUCUCAGCAAUCUUCUAUAACUCUUUCUGGAACUCUGUUCGUUCUUCUCUUCUCAACUCUCUGCAACACUCUGUUGCUAGCAAAUCUCUGUGCUAAGCCAUCUCUGUGCUCUCAGCCAUCUCUGUGCUCUCCGCCAUCUCUGUGCUCAGCUCCCAGCCAUCUCUGUACUCAGCUAUCUCUCUGCUCUCAGUACUCUCUCUGAGUUUUCAGUUCCCUCUAUCACCUCUCUCUUCAAAUCUUCUUAACCUUCUCUGUUACCUCUCUCUGUAACUUUACUAUUCAUCUCUGUAAUUUUACUAUUUACUGUUAUCCUCUGUUACACUUUGUAACUUCAUAUUUCUUUUACUGUAUAUCGGGUGGUGUACCUAACCACACCGAGCUUUCUUUUAAGAGUGAUUGUGAGGAUUGUUAAUGUGUUAUUGUAACCUUAACAGUCUACCGAGCUACGGCGCAAAAGAGUGGAAGAUAUUCUCGAGUUACUGCAAGUGUCUUAUAUGAGUUUCUUUUUAUUAUGCAAGUUAAAUUGAUAUUUUGUUUUAAAAUUUAGAAAUACUACUUAUAUAAAUUGGUUUGUUAUUGAUGUAUCAUCUCUUUUAUGUGUUGUCUGUCUAAUACUGUUUCUUCUUAUGAGAUUUGUGUACUAUUGAUAAAUUUCUUGAAAAUAAUUGUUGAAAAUAAUUGCUAAAAUAGAUCUUGGUUGUUUUGGUAUCAGAGCCAAUAGUUUUACAGUGGUGAACUGUAGUCUAGGUACUAUUCUAGAGGUUAAGAACUUAAUAAAAUUUUCUAUUCAGACAAUCAGAGUUUGAAACUAAACGUCGUCGUGACCCGCACUACUAAAAAAAGGCUAGGAAGAGUCGUGAAAAAGGUACAGGGACUGUUUUCGACUGACUCAGUAUUCAAUCAUUGUACUGAAAUGGCAAAUUUUAUUAGGACUCUAUCCAAUAGAACAACAUCUUUGUCUAAUAGUACACUACGAGUAAAAAAUAAGGAAGAAAUAACCAUAGAUAAUAUAGAAAGACAUACAAAAUUGGAAUAUUCUUAAAGUACCCCUAAUACAAAACAGUAGAACAAAGUAUAUCUAUUACAAAUGAGCAAGAAAGUUUCCAACUACUGUCUAAUAGAAUGAUUCAAAAUCAUAAAUCUAAAGAAUAUAAAUAUUUACAUAUAGGUCUUAUACAGAUUAUCAUUAAACCUUUAACCCGACUAGGUUUAAAUAAUUCUGUUUUGUUAUGUCUAGGAGAUGACCGCCAUAAUAAAUUCUCAGACUGCCUUUUAGGAAUAAUAGAGUCCAGUCUUUGUAAUGGACUUUUAUACUUUAACUGCUUUCCAAACUUCUCAGUUUCAUUAGCAGAUCCUAACCUAUUAAAAGUUCUCACUUUGAAUAUAAAAACCCAAGGGUUUGAUAUGAACCCUGGAUCACAAAAUUUUGCAGUAGUAUAUAGAAUAUGUUAUAAAGAUAUGAACACUUUAUGUCCAAAUACUCUGCAGAUGGAUACUAAAGAACAGACAAUAUUUGUCCAGACAAAUAUAGAGAAAUCUAAUACAGUCAUACCCAAAUCCAUAAGCUGGUCCCAAAUAAAUCUUCCAGAAAAUUGGUCCUUACAUUGUGAGAACCAACAAUCCAGAGUCCCAAUCAAUAGAGAACCAGACCAGAUUAUUGAGUAUCCUGAUAGAGACAUAGAAAUACAAUUUAAUUCUAAUAGACAUACUAGAAUAAAUCUGUCAGAGGAAUCUAUACGAGCACCUUCCAAAAUCUCUAUACCUUCUAGACAUUUUACCUCGUCCAUACCACAAAGACCCAUAUUAGAUGUCCGGAAUCUAUAUACCUUCUAGAUAUUCUACCUCGUCCAUACCACAAAGACCAACAUUAGAUGGAUUGUCUUGAACAAAUAGUAAUAUCCAAAGACCGGUUUAUAGGGUAUAUGAACCUAGCUCAUCUGAUAAUGAACUUACACCUUCGGAUUUGGAUUUUAAUAUCCUCACCCUGCAAAAAGAGGAAAAGUUUAAAAUUGAUAUAGAAGGGAUUAAGAAUGAUUUCCUAUCUGAAGAAAAUAAAGAAAAACGAGACUGGUAACUGAAUGAAUUCCCUCAAGAAUUACUAGAUGCCUUUCAUAAAAGAUUUAAUAAAUUUAUAAAGUAAAACAAACAGAAUAUAGGAUUCUUUGUUUGGUUAAGACAUACUCUGAAAGAAAAGGAUAUACUUAUCCCAGACUUUGGACUUAAUACUAUAGAAAACCAAUACCAGACCUUUUUUAUACUAAUGAAGGAGAAGAUAUACAAAGCAUUCACCCUACUGAAAAAAGUCUCCAGGUAAAAGGGGCAUUGAAAGAAAAGCCUGAGACAAAAACCUCUUCUUAUAAAAUAAUUCCAAAAGAAACGGAGAAUCAUACUCAUAAAAUAGAUGUUAUACCUCAUAUAAUUGAACAAAAUAACUAUACAAAUCUUUGUUUACAGUCUAUCGGAAAAUAAACGACCAGAAUAGAGAAUAUGAUUAACAAACCCCAAAGUACACCUCUAAAUAACCUUGAAACAAAGCAAAAACUCUAUUGUUUAAACCUCCUCCAGAACUCAGUAAAGAACAAUUCAACCUACAAGGAAUAAAAAAGAAAGUNNNNNNNNNNNNNNNNNNNNNNNNNNNNNNNNNNNNNNNNNNNNNNNNNNNNNNNNNNNNNNNNNNNNNNNNNNNNNNNNNNNNNNNNNNNNNNNNNNNNNNNNNNNNNNNNNNNNNNNNNNNNNNNNNNNNNNNNNNNNNNNNNNNNNNNNNNNNNNNNNNNNNNNNNNNNNNNNNNNNNNNNNNNNNNNNNNNNNNNNNNNNNNNNNNNNNNNNNNNNNNNNNNNNNNNNNNNNNNNNNNNNNNNNNNNNNNNNNNNNNNNNNNNNNNNNNNNNNAGCCCUAAAUGACUCGUGUUUAGGGUGUGAGUGUAUGUGGUGCAUAGAAAGCCUGUAACAUGAGAGAAUGUGUUGGGUCUUGGCGGUAGUGUAGCUGAGUCCCAUGAUGAGGUUUUUGACUACAUUCUCACUAAAAGUAAAGUCCCAAAAGUCUGAAAAAUCCCCUUUAACUUACCACUUUUACUUAACCAAAAAAACGACUGUAUCAUGACACUAAGAAGCAUGACUUAGCUGCCAAAAGGCGCAUGGCUUAGCUAUACCAAAUACCUCAACGACCAUUCCAAGGAAAUAUGUCAUACAUAUCCUAUUUGGCUUGCCUGCCUUCAUUACCUAGUGCUCUAUUUAUUUAUUUUUUGUGAAAACUACAUGGAGACCAACCCCACCCGGUCAGCUUUCUCUCUUUUUUUUUAAAUUAUUAUUAUUAUUAUUAUUAUUAUUAUUAUUAUUAUUUAGAAUUUCCCCUUGAACUUUCUAUUAUCGGAUAAGGGGAAAUUCUGCAAUUUUUCAAAUUUUCUUUUAUUUAAGGUGUGUCUAAUAUUAGAAACAUCGAAAAACAUUAUGUAUUGCACUUCUCAAUUUUUAUAAUGUAUGACAACCCAAAAGUCUAAGCUCCUAGGGUGUCUAAUGUUGUCAGCAUUGAACCGUCUAAAUCUAUUUAUUUAUUGAAAAAAGUUUAUAUAAGGAUGCAACCUUAUAUAAGAUAGUUUUAAUGUUGAAAAACCAUUUGAUUGAUCAUCUCGACAUCGAGAUGUAUGACCAUGAAAAAUAAAAAGAAUUUAAGUCUCAUAAGUAGUGCAUUUUAUAAUAAAUUAUCUGCACCGUCCAUUUCAAGAUUUUCAUAUAUUUAUAGAUCUACUUCAUUUUAACCAUUUUUUAAAUUUAAAAUUUUAUAUUUAGUUAUAAAAAUAGAUUUUGAGAUAAUCCUAAGAAUAUUUUACAUCAAAAUUAUAUACCAUGAUAAAAUUUGAAAGUGCACCUUACUUCUACAGCUACGGAUCCAUCCGUAUGCCAACUGCACCCUUAUUUAUUUAUUAAGCAGUCUGGUAUUUGCAAUAUUAAAUAGGCUCGAUUCAUGGCUUCAAAAUUUCACCUGUCCUUUCUCCAUGUCAUUUUUCCUCACUCACUCUCUCUCUAUCGCAUAAAAUUUACAAAAAUAUGGAAAUUUUCUAUUUUCGAGCAAGCUCAAAGUCAAACUACUAGCCUCAAUGUGUUUAAAGGAAUUGUAUCCCAUGAGAUCAUUUAUUUUUGGAGAUUAUAUAGACUCAAGGUUCUUAACGAUCAAAUUAGAACCCACAUCAAAAAUUUCACUAGAAGAGGUUGUCUUGAUGCCCAAAUAUUCUCAAAUUGAUCAUCUCAACAUCAAGAUACAUGAACAUAAGAAAAAAAUGGACUUCAAGUCUUGCAUGGAUUUCAAUUUUCAAGAUCUUCAUGUUUUCAUAGAUCUACUCGAGUUACACUAUUUAUUAAGCUUCAAAUUUUAUAAUUAAAGAUGAAAAUAUAUUUUAAAGCUAUCACAAAGAUUUCUAGUAUUGAGACCACAUCCUUUAUUUUUUGUAUGAAAAAGUCAUUGAAACUACAUCCUUUAUUUUUUGUACGAAAAAGUCAUAAUCACUUUGAACCAUUAGAUGUGAAAUCCAAUUGUCACAACAUUCGAGAAAUUUUGCAACACAUCCUCAACUACCCUAUUUAAAAAAGAGUAAAUGACAAUUGCCUUGUAUCAAAAAGUAAAUAGUUUCCUUGUAUACAUUUUGGCGUAUAAAACACUUCCAUUUACAAGUGAAAAUUACAUUGAAGAGAGAGAAAAAGGGAUUAUACUCACAUGGUCAAGUAGAAUAGGCAUUUGAUCAAAGAAUAUUGAAGCUGAACAAUUAGGGAAAGUUCCAGUUGUAGGGCUCCACAAACAAAGGGUUACAAGCUGAAUUAUUUGGAGUAGGCAUUCAUGGCCAAAUGUAAAUUCGCAAACAUCAUCCGUUAUAUAUAUAUAUAUGAAAAAAUCUUAAGUAUAAGCAAUUUUGAGUAGUGUUUCACCUCGCUUCGGACUUGCUAUGUCUGUGGUGAUUUAUUGAAUGGAGCUGCAAUAGACGGUGCGUGGUCCGUGGUGUUUCCAAGUGUUUUGUUACCGCCACAGACCUGCUAGGUCUGUGGCAGUCUUUAAUCCUCGCCUUCCGAUUUUAAGGUAUAUAUAUAUAUAUAUAUAUAUAUAUAUAUUUCACUCCAAACAAUGACUUAAGUGCACAAGGCAGAGUGAGAAAGGUUAAAAAGAUACUCACAUGUUCAUCCUGCAAUGGAGGCUGAAGCCGCACCUGAACAGUGGGCUUAAAGCAUUGUAGCCUCAGUUUAGCACUCAAAUGAAAAGCAGCAUUAGGAGAAGAGAUGAUUGAGAAAGGGUGAGGAAAGUAGAGAGGAGGAGAGAAGAGAGAGAAAUUAGGGCGAGAAGGAAGAGAGGAGAAAGGCAACUUCACCGCAUGCAUCAUUUCCUUGAACAUAUUCUCAACACCAAUUCCCCUUCUUAUACACGUACAUCCCCACAUGGCUACAUGCAGGAGCAUGUGGGGAGCAUUUCUACUAUGUACUCCCUCGGGUCCACCUAAUGUAGGAGUAUUCUUGAAGGCUCAAAUUUUGAGGAUGCAAUGUGGACAACUAUCCACUGACAAGCUGUUUGGAAAUAAAAUAAAACUUACUAGAAACAAAUAUAUAAUGACAUAAGUUGUUAGGAAACACACCAAAAUACUGAUAUUUCUUUCUUGACAAGAAACCUAGCAUGUGCUUGGCGAGAAACCUAGCAUGUGCUUGGCGAGUGGAGAACGUAGGAAUUUGGAUAAAAUUCUUUGUCUAUGUGGAGAUCAAGAGACCUUUUCUUUCUUUCAAUUAUAACUACUUGCUCUCUCAUGACCAUAUUUGUCGAGCAACAAAGCUACUAUCCAGAAAUAAAAUAAUGUACAAAUUUACUAAUAUGCACAUCAUAUAAUAAUUUCUUAAUUUAGAUGUAAAUAUUUUUCUUCAUAAUUUAGGUGGGAGGGCAAUGUUAUUGGUGCCAUGUAUCAAGUUUCCCCGUGGUUUAUUUACAUAAUCCAAAAUUAUAUUGCUUUCAGGUUUGUUGGGUGUGCUUGUAAAUGAAAUAUAUAGUCCUAUGUGAACCGUACUAAGCAAACGAUGUUUGCUGAUACUGAACUGUGUUUAACGUGUUAGGCCAGUCUAGUUAGGGAAAACCAAUGUUAUCUGGGCAUAGAGAAACAAACCGAUGAGGGUUAGAUGGGUUAUUCCUUGAUGAGAUCGGAGUAUGCCUAGAAGAGUGAGCCGAGGGACUGUGUGACCUUUAUGUGUGAUGGAAGUCUUCAGAGAUAAGGCGAAAACCUCAUCAUUUGUACCAUCACACUACAUCCACAUUGAUAGUCAUUUUUAGUAAAGCGAACCACCAUUCAUGGUGAAGCAUGUGCAUGUGCGAGAGAUACCCCACUAUGUACUAUCGAGCAAUGGAUUGCAUCAGGUCAAGAUGAUAUUGGAUUCGUAUCUAGAGGAGACUUGAAAUCCAUAUCAUAGGACUGCGACCUCUUGUCCAUUGGCUAGACUUUGGUGACCCACUAAUGAUCGUUUACAUGGACUAUUGGUCAUGGGCAAUACUUCAAUUUGGGAAAGCCUGUGUGGUUCGUAGUUUACACUCGGACAUGGAGUGCCCCAGUGGAUAUUUAUUCUUAGACUAUAUGGAUCAUUUUCUUAUUUUAAUAAUAUAUGAUUUUUAGAAUUGCUAUUUGAAUUUUUUAAAACAUAGAUAUUAAUUUUAUAAUAAUUUAACUAUUCAAAUAAUAAUUUUAUAUUUUUCUAAAAAUAAAUAAUAAUAUAAUUACAUGGGAGGCUCAAUAGGACACUUUUUAUUUUUUGUAAUCAAGCUCUCAAGCUUGAGAGAUGGGUUUGUGUUGUUUUAAGAAAACGUAAGUCUUGAGGAAAUUUUAAAUGAUAUUUUGGUAUGUAUGAGAAGGCUUAUGCAUAAAAUAAGAAAGGAUAAUAUUAUCAUAUAUUAAUUUUUUAUUUGAAUUAAUUGAUGAGAAAAUAGUUUAGGAAGUGGGGGAUAAUGGUUCUAGCACCUUCUAUAGGAUGUUGAUAGCCCAUUUAUAGAAUGGAGAGCUCAUAUCUCUCACUCUACAAGUCACCCAAGAUCAAUGAUGCAUAUUCAUUCUCACAUGUGGCAAGCCAAGAAAAACCCUAGGAAACCCUAAUCUUGUUCAAGCAUUAUAAAAAAGGUUGUCCCCUACCCAAAUCUUUACACCACAACUUUCCGUCUCUCUCUCACCCACAAAGGGCAGUACACCCACUCUCUUAGAAUCUCUCUCUCUCUCUCUCUCUCACGAAAGGUCUAAGGCGAAAGGUCUAAGGGGCACGUCCCACUCUCUACUCAUCUCUUGAGUUUCCCUCUUGCUCCCAUGGUGUUUCUCUAAUCUCUCAUCUUGAGGUUAAGUCUAUAGGGUUGUGGUAAAAAGAGAAACAUAUCUCUCAAACUAGGUUAUCAAAAGGGGGUUCACUUAAGAGUUUGAGUUUUGUGAUAAAAAAGGUUCAUGUUUUAUAGGGGGGUGGGGGGAUGAGUAGCACAGCCUACCAAGGACACUUUUUAUUUUUUGUAAUCAAGCUCUAAAGCUUGAGAGAAAGGUUUGUGUUGUUUUAAGAAAGUUUUAAUCUUGAGGAACUUUUAAAUGAUAUUUUGGUAUGUAUGAGAAAGUUUACGCAUAAAAUAAGAAAGGAUAAUAUUAUCAUAUAUUAAUUUAUUAUUUGAAUUAAUUGAUGAAAAAUAGUUUAGAAAGUGGGGAAUAAUGGUUCUAGCACCUUCUAUAGGAUAUUGAUAACCGAUCUAUAUAAUUGAGAGCUUAUAUCUCUCACCCUAUAAGUCACCCAAGAUCAAUGAUGCAUAUUCAACCUCACAUGAGUGACAAGCCAAAAAAAACCCUAAGAAAAUCUAAUCUUGUUCAACCAUUAUAAAAAGAGGUUGUCCCCUACCCAAAUCUUUACACCACUACUUUCCAUCUAUCUCUCACCCACAAAGCGGGGUACACCCCAAUCUCUUAGAAUCUCUCUCUUUCUCUCUUAAGAAAGUUUCUCUCUCAUGAAAGGUCUAAGGGCAUGCCCACUCUCUACUCAUCUCUUGAGUUUCUCUCUUGCUCCCAUGGUGUUUUUCUCAUCUCUCAUCUUGGGGUUAAGUCUAUCGGGUUAUGGAAGAAAGAGAAGCAUCUCUCACAAACUAUGUUAUUAAAAGGGAGUUCACCUAAGGGUUUAAGUUUCUAGAUCAAAUGGGUUCAUGUUCCAUUGGUGUGGCUUGUCGAAACUUAUUUUUUUGGUUGAGAUUGAAGGUUGACCAUUAGAUCUCGAGCCGUCAAAAGGUGGUGACCCUGUGUCGGGUGUAAGAAGCUCGGUUGAGGUAAUCUCCGACACCCUCUUUUGUUUCUUGCUUAUGUGUUUAUUGCUUUCUUAAUUUCCAAGUAUAAGUUGUGUCUUUUCUUUGUUAAUGGAAAGAGUGGUUUUGAAUGCAUCAAGUUCUUGAGAUCCUAGUUGUAUUCUUUCCUUUAUUUCAUUUGAAUUUGUUUUAUUGUAAAAGGUCUAUUCGUAAGUAAUCUAAGCUAAGCAGAAAAAAUAAAAAGAGUUGAAAAAGAAGAAUAUAUAUAUAUAUAUAUACUCGAGCAUUAUAAACUCUUAGACUUACUUGUGAAAAUAUUUUAUCUUUAAUCUGCAUUAUGUGCUUUAUAUAUAUAUAUACUCCGGCUAGAUCACACUAGUUUUUCUUUCAAAGUUGACACCUUAUAUAACAUUUUUUCUGUUAUUAUUUGUUGCAUUUUAUUUUAGUCAUAUAGAUUAAAUAAGUAGAACAUUUAUGCUAAAGUGACAAAAAUAACAUAGAUGAAAAAUUGCAUGAGAUCAAGACUACAUGAUCAUAUCUCUAUCUCCAAUGAGAAUCAAAUACAUAAAGAUAAGAAUUAAAUCCCAUAUUCUAAAUUGGCAAAUUUACAAAUUAAUAUUUGCAUCUCGUAAUUUCAGUUAACAGAAAAAUAUUUACUAAGAAAAAUCAUUAUUGAAAAUUUUAGCAAGUAUGGUAUCUUUGCAUAUGCACAAUGAAAGAAUACAUUCUCAACUUGUUUCAAUUUUCUAGGCAACUCUUUUAAUUUUCAAUAUUUCAUCGCAACUUUGGCAUAAAAAUAAUUUAUGUCAACUUAAAAUAAAAUUUGAAAACUAAAUUGUCUCUCAUGCAUUGCCUAGGUGGCAAGCCAGUAAAAAAUCAAGGGGAAAUAUCUUAGGCUUAAAACAUGAAUAGGGAAUAUCUUUCUAUUUCGAAGUUUUUAGAUUCAUGUGAAUUUAUAUAAAUUUCACCCAUGACUCAUUAUCAUCCAAACUUCAUCGGAUGGCCACAACCAUCUGAUAAUGUUUGAAUAUUAAUUUUUUUUCGACAAAUCAGGAUUAUCUGAAUUUUCGAGUGUGUCUAUAUCUAACCAUCUCGAAAAAAACUAAAAUAUUUUUAAAAAAAAGUAUAGAAAAAAAUAGAAAAACAAAAAAUCCUUGAAAUAUUCAUUGAGGUAAUAUGGUCAAUUUUACUAUUCCUAUUUUUUUUUAUAUAUUUUAUUAGGCGUGUCCCAGUGAUGCGCACGUACGUUAAAAAUUUGAGGUUAAUUUAAUUUUUAUUAAUUUAUAAAAAUUUAAAUAUUAUUAGACUAAUAUAAUUGUGAUGAGAUAUGAAAAUACUAUAAAAAUUAACACAUGAACUUUUCUCCUUAUUUUCGUAAGUGCAAAUAGUCCAUUUGGUAUUUUAUCUCAAACCACUUGGCACCGCCUCUUUGUCCGAACAUGGCAAAGGCUACGAUGCAUGUACUUAACAGAGACGCAAUAAAACCUGAAAGAGUAUGACACAUUUACUAAUGAGAAGCUGCAAAACCUGGGGCUGUAUAUACAUUUGUCAAAUAAAUGAAGAUAAUAGGUACAAUUGUUGGCAUAAAAACGUUAUUGUACAUAUAAAAUCUCAUUUUACAUCGUAUACCAACGUCCAUUUCACUUCUGAGUGAGAGAGAGAAAGAGAGAGAGAUGACAGAUUUUUCCUCAGAGGGAGUAAUAGAGAUGAAGAUCGAUUCAUUACUUAGUUAUAGAGCGUGAGGCUACCAUUUUAUCUUUGAGAGAAAAUAAACUAGGAUUGAAAUAAGGAAAAUUAUUAGAAAUAUAUCUUAAAUUUUGUUUAAUUGGAAAAAAAAUCUCAAUUUUUAUAAACUUUUUCCACACUUUUUUUUUUUUUGUCAAUUUUGGUAUUUUUUUUAUCAAAAUAUCUUUCACGAUAAUCGUAUUACCGUGAAGGCUCUAUCUUGAUGGUACUUAACAUGAUGUAAUACCUGGUCAUUACGGUAAUAUGACUACCGUGAAAGUUAUUUUAGUAAAAAAAAUUAUCAAAAUUGAGGAAAAAAUGUGUGGAUGAAGUUUAUGAGAGUUGAGGGUCUUUCUUUCCAAUUAGACAAAAAUUAAAGUAUAUUUAUAAUAAUUUCCUUUAAAAUAACUAACAGCUUGCUGCAUGGUUUAUGAAUGGGCAUGUCAGAUGAUAGAUAUUGGGCUUGGGGACCCAAAUAAGGUAAUCCUUAUCCGUGCACUAAUAUGAGACUUUAUCAACAUGUGUUUGAGCAUAGUAAAUGAUUGCAAAAGAAAAUCAAUACAAUACUGGAGUAUAUAUGUAAACCAUGAGAGAAUCCAGUUGAUACAUGGCACCAAUACUUUUAACAAUGUUAGAUUCAUGUAAUCGACUCCAAAUAAUUAGAAAAAGACUUUGAUGAUGAUAUCUAAAUGAAAAAUAUUAUAUAGAGGCGAGGCUCUAAACAAUCAAAUAAGAGCCCACCACAAAAAUUUCACUAGAAGAGGUUACUUUGAUACCCAAAUAUCCUCAAAUUGAUCAUCUCGACGACAAGAUUGGAAAUACUACAUCUUGUAACAUAUUUUUGGACUUUUAAUUUUCAAGAUAUUCAAGUUUUCAUAAAUCUGCUCAAUCUACUCUAUUUUUUACGCUUUAAAUUUUGUAGUUAAAGAUGAAAAUAUAUUUUAAGGCUUUCACAAAGAUUUGCAACAUUGAAACCAUAUUUCUCAACACUAUUUGAAGGUGCACUUUAUUUUGAUUGUUUAGAGCCUCGGCUAUAUACAAACCACACUCAUAUAUAUGGGAUUGUCUACAAAGAGACUUUUUAUCUUUUGUACACUGAGGUCACAUUAGAUGUCAAAUUGGAUGGCUUGAGGUGAGUCAGGAAGUCCGAGAUUUUUUUUUUUUUGGGAACUUUGUCUCUAUUCAAUCACAUUCUUAUAACCAACCAUUUUGAAAUUUUAAGGGACAAGAAUGAUUGUGAUCUCUAUAUACAACAGAUAAAUAACAUCUUUGUAGACACUCUUAUAAUUUUUUUAGGGCAAUUAUAUGAGAGGACAUUUGAAUAGUGAUUAUAAGUUGCUCAUGCUAAUAUGUAUUAUUUUAAGGUUGUGCAAAUGCCUAUUAGAAGAGAUAAAUAUAUGCUAUUAUAGAUUAUUUCUGGGUUGCGUAGAUGUCUAUUAGAAAAGAUAAAUACAUAAAACUUCCAAAAAUAAACCCCAACUAUUUUAUGUACAUAAAUAUACAUGCGUACGUUUCCAAAUAUAAAGGUAAAAGAGAGAGAGGUAGACCAUCUUCUCUCUCUUUAUUCUAUAAAAAAAUAACCCAAGAGAUUAAACCUCAUGCAUUUUGUUGUUUUAUUUCCUCAAUCAAGCUCACCAUGAUUGGAUACAAGUUAGAACAAAUGUCAAUCCCAUUUUAAAAGGGAUUUUUCGGGGUGGUGAUUUUAGUGUCGGAGACUUCAACAUAGAUGCACUCCCCAAACUUCAUGAGAGAAGAUGGAAGUAUAGUGGAACCAUAAUCUUUCUAGAAUUUAGAUUUAUAUUGAACCAUCAAGAAGCAACAUUAUCAUGUAUAAUAUCCAUCGGCCAUCAAAGAGGAGGGUCAUUAUUUCUUAACAAGUUGGUGGGCUUGAAUGGGCUCGCAAGGAGCUGGGCAGCCCACAAGGAGGCAGGUUGAUUAUAUAAUGGAAAACGUUUAUAUAAGGAUACAACCUUAUAAUGUAGAACUACGGACGCACCUCAAAAAUCUAUCGAAAAAGGUAGUUUUAAUGUUGAAAAAUCUUUUGAUUGAUCGUCUCCACAUCGAGAUGUAUGACCAUGAAAAAUAAAAAGAUUUUAAGUCUCAGAAAUAGUGCAUUUUACAACAUAUUAUCUACACCGUCCAUUUUCAAGAUUUUCAUAUGUUUAUAGAUCUACUUCAUUUUAACCAUUUUUUAAAUUUAAAAUUUUAUAAUUAGAUAUAAAAAUAGAUUUUAAUAUAAUCCUAAAAACAUUUUACAUCAAAAUUAUAUACCAUGAUAAAAUUUGAAGGUGCACUUUACCUCUACAGCUACGGAUGCAUCCGUAUGCCAACUGCACCCUUAUAUAAUUGUCCCAAUCAAACUUGAAAAUAAAAUAAAACUACCACAAAUAAAUAGAUAAUGACAUAAGUUGUUUUGGAAACACACCAAAAUAGUGAUGCUACUUUAUUGACAUGAGAGUUCCCCUUUAAACUGAAGAAACCCUAGCAUGUGCUUGGUGAGUGGAGAAGACAAAAAUCUGUGAUCAUCGGACCUUGUCUUUCUUUCAAAAGGAAGCUGAGUAAUCUUCUCCCUCUGGGGCUGGCUAGGUUUGAGAAAAAUAGGCAAAAGUAAUAAGACCAUUAGCCCUGUCUCCAACUACUUGCUCUCUCAUGACCAUAUUUGUUGAGCAACAUGGAUAUUAUCCAGAAAUAAAAUAAUUUAUAAAUUUACUAAUAUGCCCAUCAUAUAAUAAUGGAAAAAGUUUACAUAAGGUUGCAACCUUAAAAUGUAGAAUUACAGAUGCACCUCAAAAAUUCUAUCGGAAAUGUUGUUUUAAUGUUAAAAUAACCUUCUAAUUGAUCAUCUCAACAUCGAGAUGUAUGAAUAUAUAAAAACAAAAGGUUUUUGAGUCCCUGAAAUAGUGUAUCUUGCAAUACAUUAUCUAGACCGUCCAUUUUCAAAAUUUUCGUAUUUUUAUAGAUCUAUUUUAUUUUAACCCUUUUUUUUAUUUUAAAAUUUUCUAAUUAGGUAUGAAAAUAGAUUUUUAGAAAAUCUUAAGAUUUUUUUACAGCAAAAUAACGUGCUAAGACAAAAUUUGGAGGUGAGCCUUAAUUGGAUUGUUUAAGGUUGCAACCUUAUGGAAAAGGCACCCAUUGCAUAUUGUGUAUUCGUAGUUAUUAUAUCUCCUUGUUUUUUUAUUUUUAUUUUUUUUACUUUGGUUUAGGAGUUUAGCCGCAAAGUUUUUUAAUUUCUUAGCAAUUCUUUGUUUGCAAGACAAACUCUAAAAACAUUUUAAAAAAAUGCAAAAUAAAAAGUAAUGACAACAGCUUCUGUCAUUCAACUCCAUCCAUGCCAUGUCAAACGAGUCAUGACUGUACUCGGCUGGGUUAGUUGAGUCCAUUAAAAUUGUUCGAGGAGAGUUGCUCUAUUUUAUCCAACUUGAGACUAAUUAACGUAGGCGAUUGUCUUUGCAAAAUAUGAUCCAUUUUUAUUUUAAUUUAUUCCACCUUUUAUUUGAUUACAAAAGAUUUGUAGAUGGUUCUAAGUCCAUAAAAUAAAAAUUUUCGACAAUGUACAAAAAAAAAAAAAGGGCAUGUGACUAGUUUGACAGAAGAUUUUUGACGAAACAAAGGGCCCCUUUGGCCUGGUCAAAGAUGGGCGCAACCCGAGUGGGGUCUGUCCAAAAGAGACUAGGCUGGGCUCGGGUCAGGAUUCACAGGCCUAGCCUCUUGCCAGCGUAUUUACAUAAUUUGUAGUCCGAGGCAUGAAGAAAGUAAGUCUUUUUUACUUUGUGCAAUGGCAGAUUAGAUGUUACAUAAUCAGUGUGUGUGUUUUUACUUUGUGCAAUGCACAUGCCAUUUGUAGAGAGAAGCUAAUUUUAGAUUUGAAGAACUUUGUAAGGGUUUAGCUAGUUCCAUAGAAUUCGAACAUUCUAAUUAACUAUACACCUCUCUCUCAAAGGAUUAUCAUGCAUAAUUCUAAGAUUUAUUUACCAUUUAUGUAAUCAGAUUCUACAUCAUUAAAGCACCAUUUAUGAACUAAUACACCACACAAUAUAGCCAUAUUAAGCAAGUGGCUUAUAGAGAAAAUCCAUCAGUAGCUGCUCCAAUCCUGGAUCGGACAUGCUGCUAAAGCCAUCCGAGUUCUUGUAAAUGAGAGCCAUGGUUCUUCCAAAGUUUAUAAGUGCACGAAGAACCGAGUCAGGCACAACUCCUUUCAACUCAAACAGUUGCCACUCCAAUUCUCGAUUGCUGGAUUCGAUCAAACCCUGCAAAUGAGCCAUGGCUUCGGCCUUGGUGCUCCCGGGGUAAUCUUUCAUGAAGCAUCCAAUGCUUGAUGCCAUCAUGCCUAAACGCUCUUCCCUCUCUGAGGUGACAAUGUCAUUGCUAAGUCGGCUAAUGAGUCCAAUGUGAUAGAGAAAUCUUGAGCAUUGACCCACCAACCGUAGCAUCUCGUCGGAAAUGACUUCUCCUAUGAUGAAUAUCGGACUCAAGGCAGUGACGCUGGUAGAAACGCUAAGGUUAGCCACCAUUUGAUACUCCUCCAAGGAGGGUAUGCACCCUGAAUGCCUCCAUUCUGCUUCCUUUCCAUGCAGUGACGCCAAUUCCUCCCACUGAUAGGAAUGAAAGAAAGAAAGCAAAUACAGUUCUAGCAAUGUUUUGCGGUCUAAAAAACAAACAUGAAUCAAAUGAAGCAAAAUGUAUCUCAACAUGAAAAUGUCUUUGUUCUUUGAAUCUCAUUGUUCCCUAAUGCUCGACAAACAUGCUAAACACUCCCUUUGGAGUGUGUUUCUGGUACCUUUACUCCAUAAGGAAAUAAGCUCCAUAAUUAGGAGAAUACACAUUGAAGUACAUCUGAUCAUAGUGACCCAUAAAUGCUAUAAAACUAUCUAGCUGUUUGGUGAAUUCUCCAGGAAUGUUCAGUUCCAACAUAAAGUAUAUAGUUGAAUAGUAAAUGUCAUCAAGUAUUAAAUUUCAAAAAUUGAAUGGUCAUGUUUGUUAUAUUGGUAGAAUUUAAAAAAUGAACACAUUUUUUAGGAUUCUGGGUCUUUCAGAAGGAAAAUGAGCUCAGCAUAGAACGUUAUACCAUGCAUUAGAUAGAGUGUUUGUCAAGCUUUUGAACAAACUCUUUUCAAUAAUAAUUCUUAUGUGCAUUUUAGUAAUCUAAAAUGUUUAUUGCAGUAGAAUUGGGACAAAACCUAGUGAUCUUCGAUAAGUUUUCAGCAAAUCAUGAAGUGAAUGCUCAAAUAAGUAGGACACCUUCAUCUACGAUCCAUCUUUUCUGAUUCACCAAUCAAGUAGUCUAGUUUUUUGUUUCCAUAGAGAGGGAGAGGGACAUUCUCCGGGAUGCGAUCUAAAAAAUCUAUGAUCCAUCUUUUCUAAUUCACCCUCGUGGAGUUUGAAACAGAAAUGGUAUUCUGUUUCAGAAGUUAUAAACAUCCAUCUUCUUAUUUAUAAACAUCACAAUACCUUGAAGAUUUGUUCAAUGAGGACAUCUCAUGCCUCUGUAUCCAAGUGAAGCACAAGUUACAUUUAUUUGUGUUUGUCUAGCUUUGCAUGUUGUUCUGUUUAAGAAUAGAAGAUUUUUGUCUCGCUAAAAUUCUCAUCAUGGUUAAUAGAAUUCUGAUUGUAGUUAACCUUGGAGCUUGAUGCCCAUUGAUCUUUACAAUUAAUUUUAUUCCUUUUAGCUGCUUCACGCAAUGCCGAAAACAAUUAUACCUGUUGUUAAAUGUUUUGACCAUCCUUAAUGGUUUUCAUUGUCAUUUACUGUUUUAACCACCAAUGAUAAAUUUUACCAUUAUUAAUAAUUUUUACCAUUAUUAUCUAUUUCGUCACUGUUAACUGUUUUCACUAACAUCAACAAUUUCCAAUGUUCUAAAGCGUUUUCACUGCCAUUUAACAAUUUUCACCAUGGUUAAUGGUUGAACUAAGUUUUCCAUGACGAUAAUUUGGGAGCUUUAAAGAUCUUCCUGUUAGCUCUUGUUGCUCAUUUCUACUGAUUGUUUUAGAUAUCUAUUUAGCUUGGAAACUAAUUUCAUUAGCUUUGAAGCUAAAAAAUCCUUCAUUCUGACUUUUUGAGAUCACAAAACCAACAAAAUAAGUGAACAUAGAAUAUUUGCAGUGUGGAACAAGGGCAUGUAUUUGUUAUGUGCAAAAGCCUAAAUGCUUGUAGUGGUGCUUUAUUUGUAUCUGUGCCUAUGCAUCGUACCAAUACACGCAUGCAUGAGCAAGUAGCCAUGCAUAACUAUGCAUCUCUGUGUGUUUGUGUAUGUGUGUGUUUGUCAGCACUAGUAUUUCUAAAAUGAUUAUGAUAUAGAGUCAAGUUGUUGUUUAGCUUGAGUAAAUAUGAUUACCGGUCCUCUUAUUAAGUGAAUGACAUUGCGCCCUUGUACUGUGCGUGAUUCUUCAGCGACAUUAGUAAUUGCUGCAUUGAUGCCGUUGAAGAAAACACCCAUAUGUUUUGGUAGACCGCUGAGAAUUGAACGAUCCCAUCUAACAUCCAAAAACAAGGAGAAGAAUAAGUACAGAUUAGCAAUGUAAGGACAGAAAAUAGGAGUUUAACCUUCAGUAUUAAUUCAUUGUAUUUUGAUUGAGAUAUUUCUUUCUUUACAGAAGAAGAAGAAUUUGUAUUUCACAUUGUCAAAUCAUUAGUCCAAAAAUUGCUUUUCAUGGAGACUGAUAUUGCUACUUUGUAGUUUGUAUGUGCCUGCAAGCAUGUUCUGCUCUUUCUAUCCAAAACACGCAUGAAAUUAUCAAUUGGAUAGGCUGGAGUUCCACCCUUAGGCAUCGGUUUUUACGACAUAAACAUGAGGAGAAUCAGCAAUUCCCCUUUAACAAUAAACUAUGGCAUUUUAAGUGGUUAUCUACUACAUUUCUCUACACUUUUGUAUUAGUGUGGUAAAUCUAAAAGGAAUAUCUGGUUAUAAUCGAGUAAAGAAUGAGUAAGAUUUUGAUUGGUUUAUUUAUUUAUGAACUCCCAAUUGCUUCUGGACUAGGAAUUAAAAAAAAAAUUCCCACUAAUUUUUUGGUGAGCAACUUGCCAAUUGAUAUGAUUAAGAUAGAAAUAAUAGUUAAAAACAGUUAUAAAUACAAUAAUUAAAACAUGGUUAUAAUUUUAUCAAGUACUCUGCUGUAGACAGCCUUAUAUUGAUGAUGCCUGAAUACUACAUUCCCUAUAAGUAUAAUACGGGGUAAGCUGCGAACUAUCCAUCCAAUCUAAGAGACAAUGGUCGAUUGAGGUCAGCCAUUGUUUCUUGGUGGAAUGUUGGUUAAUUACCAGCAUCUGUUGAUAUGAUCAAAGUGGUUUGCCAGUCCGAGGACCCCAAACAACACUCAUAGAGAGUGUAUAUUCCCAUAUUGAUUAGGAAUAUAGCCAAGUGUUAGUAUAAUGUAGUACCUAUGGAUUGCCUUAGUUAAGAGCCUCAAAUCUUCAGGGCAGUUGCUUUUGAGGUCAUAGAUGUCGUCCAUAAGAGCAGCCAUCAUCCCAAAUUUCGUGUACUCGACCCGGAAUUUUUUGUAUUCUGGUUCAUAUAUGCCAGCUGCUACAGUGAAAUAACUCUUUACAACCCCUUGUCUUGCAAAUUCAAUCUUCGUAAAGCCCGCGUCUUCCCACCAACUUCAUUGAAUUGAGAAACAAACAAAUUCAUCAUCAUCAUUAUAACAUUCUCCCAAUUAAUUGGGGUUGGUUAAACAAACAUUUUAAAAGACAAACUUGUUGCUUUAGGAGUAAACUAGUUGCUUAAUGAAUAGGGUAGUAUUCUUGUUAAGAGCGCAAGAAAAUGUAUGAGAUAUAAGUAAGUUAUUGAAGAAGAUGGAGAUAUUUGGAUAUUUGUGUUAGGGAAUAGAGCCUUAACACUAUGCUCCUAGUUUCCAUUUAACAAUAUCACCAAAAAAGAUGAAAAAUCAUAAAAUUGGAAUACCUAACUACUUCUUGGAUCUCUUCCGCAUAGAGCAUCUGUAGAGAAUUCAAGUCGAGUCUUGCUAACUCCAAGUACUUGUAAUUGCUCUCAUCACCAGGCCACAAUUGCUCAACAAUGCUUCUCGACUCCAAUCUUGAAAGAAGGUAUUCCCUUGGGUAUGCUAGGGAAAAUUCUAUCUGUUAAAAUUGUAAAGAAAAGUAGAAAAAUUGAGAGGAAAACUUAACUGAAUCAACAAAAUAUAUGAUUUAUGCAAGGAAAUUGUUUUGAUAGGGCUGCAGCCCUAACAAAAUAAGUAAACGUACCUUAAAACGUACUAAAAAUUGCAAUUUUUGCAACAGAAAACCAUCAAAUCAAUCAUCUUGGCCUUGAUCAUUUUGGUUGUGACAAACAUAGGAUUUCAAGCCCUAAAAGUAAUGUAAAUUGUAAUAUGUUAUCUAGACCGUCCAUUUCACCCUAAAAAUAAGUGUCCCAGGAUCCUUAUAAUUUUCACAUUUUUUUAGCUUCAAAUUUCAUAAUCGGUAUUGAAAAUUAAUUUUAAAGUCAUCAUGGAGAUUUGUGAUGCCUAAAGUACUUUUUGAACAAAGAUUCAAGGUGAGGCUUUACUUUGUUUUUAUAAAGCUCAGGCCUUAUAGAACCUUCAUCCUUUAUGUAAUGAGUAAUAAAUGACCCUUGUUUUAAAGCCUGUGCAAUGAAUGACCCUUUCCUUAGAUGAAAAAGAAGUAUAUCAUUAUAGUGCACACCCAUCCUUAAAUUCUAGAGGGUUUGGGCUCUAGGCUUUGUUUUUAUGACCCCCAACACAAUAACCAAUGUAACCCUAGAUUACCUCCCAGGAAAAAUAAAUCCUCUGCAGACAUUGAAUUUCUAAGCUAUUUUAUAACAUUGCAUGAGAAAACAAAAAAAUCUAGAAAAUUUCACAAAAAAGAAAUCUUUGGCAAAUCUCAAAUUUCUGAGCUAUUCUCUAGGUAAUGCUAUGGAACUUCAUUUUUAUUUAUGAGAACUGAUUUUAUUGUGCUUGACAUAGAAUUGAAUUAUUUUAAUUACCAUAUAAAAAGUUAAUAAGAAAAUAUGUAAUAUUUCUCAAGAAAAAACAAAUGUAAUAUUGCUAUGUAAUGUUCAACGAGGAAGUUAGGUAUGUGGACUGCAUUUGUAGCCUAUGGUCCACAUGACUAGCCUAACAUUGUCCUUCCACAUCUAUACAUCUAUAGAUGGUGGAGAUGAGCUUUUUUACUUUUAAGUGCGGAAUGAGAACAAUGGCAUCAUCUCAACCGUUUAUUGAUAAGGAUUGACAUUGGUUAGGUAGGCUAGAGAGUAUAGAGCAUGUAUACUUCGCUCAUGCAUAUCCCUUAGGCAAAUGACUGAAGAGUAAGUAUUUUUUUAUCUAAAAAUUUGGGAUCUACCGUAGAAUAGAAAAAGCUAACAAAAACUUGGCAGCUAUAAUGACAAGUAAUAUAGAUGGAAUUCCUAGCGUCAGAUUUUUAUCUGGUGGUUCAAAAUACAUAUCACUAUUUGAAUUUUAAUCUUAUUUCAAGAAAUCGGAUCGUAAUGAAUAUAAAAAAAUAGUUUUCAAAAUAUAAAAUGACCAAAAUAUCCUUAACAAAUGAGGUAAUUUUGGUCAUUUAAAAUUCUUAAAUGUAUCUUUUUAAUAUUUUUAUAUGGUGCGCAAUAGUAUCAAGUAUAUAUGCCCAUUAUUUCUUCUCAAUCUUAUUUAUAAAAAAAGAUUAAAAUUUAGAUAGUGAUACAUAUUUUAAACCUCUUGAUGAAUAUCUGACGGUUGGGAUUUCACCUAUAUUACUAUUCAUUAUAACUGCCAAGUGUUUGGAAGCUUUACUCUUAUAGAAUCACACAUGAGUAUUUUUAAAUAAAUAAGAAAUGAAUUUUAAGUCCUUCGACACUUAGAUUAGAUUCCAAUAUAUUUUUCAAUCUAAGUUUAGUCCUAGAACAAUAAUUUUGUGAGGUAUUAGAUGUAGAGAGUGAAUGAUUUGCUUCUCUAUUUUUAAUUUUUUUUUUUGUGGAGAGAGAGGGAUACUAAAAAUAUAUAGAGGAGAGAGAGAUUCUAAAAAUAUAUUAUUAUUUUUUUUAAUUUUAAAAGAUAGGGAGGUAUUCAUGGCGCAAUUUGGAUCGAAAUCCAAUGGUGAUAUGUUGGAGUCCCAUCUUUGUAGGUGUGGGAGUGUCUUAUAAGAUCAUUACUCAUAUAUACAUUAAAUUUAUUAUUUUUAUAAUUUCUACACCUUGGUUUGAGUCCAGGUCACUUGGACCUUACCUGGAUCCAGGUAUAUAUACAAUAAAUUUUUUAUUUUUAAAAUUUCUACACCUUAAUUCGGGUCCCAGUCAUUUGGACUUGACCCCGUCCGGUCCAAUCCAUAUAAAACUUAGUCAGAGUGGAUUUGGAUUGGGGUCAACCGAAAACCCAUCGCCAUCCUUAGCAUGUAUACUAAGUUGUACCUCCUUCCUCAUAUUAUUGGUUUCAAGGUGAGGCUCCUCCAGUAACAGUGCUCGCCGGAGGCGGGAUUCGGCAAAGGUUGCAGCCUCACGCAUGAUGUGGGAUUCAAAAGGAAACCCGGUUUGAGAACAUCUGUACAAAU
rnacentral:lncRNA from 1 species